AUUAGCUACAUGCUAUGAAUGAUUAUCUAAAUGCAAUAACAUAUGCUAGAAAUGCCUACUAAGUAUUAGCAUUUGAUCAAACAUGUACACGAGCAUUGCCGUUUAGCAACUGCGUAGCAACCACCAAACAAUGCCAUAAUUGUUUUAGCAACUGCCUAGCAACCACUUAGCAACCGCCGCCGUGCUUCCUGCCAACAGCCAUUCCCAGUCCUAGCGCAGUCACAUUGGCUUUCUCAAGCCAAGAUCAAAGUUUAUCAAUAAACUUUAGGUUCUAGUUUCAUUGUUGCAAUCAAGAUAUGCUUCCGAUGCACUUCAAGUGGUACAGCCACAAGGUGCCGUGCUAAUAAAGCGUUUGUAAGGAUUAAGAAGUACAAAGAAGCUUGUUAAAGAGAAACUGCAACCCUUCAAGUUUAUUCCUCUUGAGUUAAAGAGGCCAAUGAGUUCUGACAACGUUGUUGGGACAUAAAGGAGUGCAAGGCUAGAAUGUACAAGACAUGCUAAAGACUCGUGUCCGAAUAAAUGUCAGUUAAAAUCAA